rnacentral:rRNA from 1 species
AGGGAGCUUGCUCCCAAAGAUUAGCGGCGGACGGGUGAGUAACACGUGGGCAACCUGCCUGUAAGACUGGGAUAACUUCGGGAAACCGGAGCUAAUACCGGAUAAUCCUUUUCCUCUCAUGAGGAAAAGCUGAAAGACGGUUUCGGCUGUCACUUACAGAUGGGCCCGCGGCGCAUUAGCUAGUUGGUGAGGUAACGGCUCACCAAGGCAACGAUGCGUAGCCGACCUGAGAGGGUGAUCGGCCACACUGGGACUGAGACACGGCCCAGACUCCUACGGGAGGCAGCAGUAGGGAAUCUUCCGCAAUGGACGAAAGUCUGACGGAGCAACGCCGCGUGAGCGAAGAAGGCCUUCGGGUCGUAAAGCUCUGUUGUCAGGGAAGAACAAGUACCGGAGUAACUGCCGGCACCUUGACGGUACCUGACCAGAAAGCCACGGCUAACUACGUGCCAGCAGCCGCGGUAAUACGUAGGUGGCAAGCGUUGUCCGGAAUUAUUGGGCGUAAAGCGCGCGCAGGCGGUCCUUUAAGUCUGAUGUGAAAGCCCACGGCUCAACCGUGGAGGGUCAUUGGAAACUGGGGGACUUGAGUGCAGAAGAGGAGAGUGGAAUUCCACGUGUAGCGGUGAAAUGCGUAGAGAUGUGGAGGAACACCAGUGGCGAAGGCGACUCUCUGGUCUGUAACUGACGCUGAGGCGCGAAAGCGU